CCUACGGGAGGCAGCAGUGGGGGAUAUUGGACAAUGGGGGGAACCCUGAUCCAGCGACGCCGCGUGAGUGAAGAAGUAUUUCGGUAUGUAAAGCUCUGUCAGCAGGGAAGAAAGAAAUGACGGUACCUGACCAAGAAGCCCCGGCUAACUACGUGCCAGCAGCCGCGGUAAUACGUAGGGGGCAAGCGUUAUCCGGAAUUACUGGGUGUAAAGGGAGCGUAGACGGUUAAGUAAGUCUGGAGUGAAAGGCCGGGGCUCAACCCCGGGACUGCUCUGGAAACUAUUUAACUUGAGUGCAGGAGAGGUAAGCGGAAUUCCUAGUGUAGCGGUGAAAUGCGUAGAUAUUAGGAGGAACACCAGUGGCGAAGGCAGCUUACUAAACUGUGACUGACAUUGAUGCUCGAAAGUGUGGGUAUCAAACAGGAUUAGAUACCCUUGUAGUC
rnacentral:rRNA from 1 species